UAACCGCGCCCCGAGUGGUGGUCACGAUUAUUGGGCCUAAAGCAUCCGUAGCCUGCCUUGCAAGUCUUUUGUGAAAUCCUCUUGUAAACAAGAGGACUCGCUUAAGAUACUGCAAGGCUAGGGAUAGGGAGAGGCCGAAGGUACUCUCGAGGUAGGGGUCAAAUCCGUUAAUCUCGAGGGGACCACCUGUGGCGAAGGCGUUCGGCCAGAACUAUUCCGACGGUCAUGGAUGAAAGCUAGGGGAGCGAUCGGG
rnacentral:rRNA from 1 species